AGAGUUUGAUCAUGGCUCAGGAUUAACGCUGGCGGUAUGCCUAAUACAUGCAAGUCGAACGAAAAUCUUCGGAUUUUAGUGGCGAACGGGUGAGUAACGUAUGUUUAAUCUACCUUGUAGUUUGGAAUAACCAUUGGAAACGAUGGCUAAUACUGAAUACUAUUUAUAAUGGAAUCUUUAUAAAUUAAAAGGGGCGUUUGCCCCGCUAUAAGAUGAGAACAUAUUACAUUAGCUAGUUGGUAGGGUAAAGGCCUACCAAGGCAAUGAUGUAUAGCCGAGCCGAGAGGUUGAUCGGCCACAAUGGGACUGAGACACGGCCCAUACUCCUACGGGAGGCAGCAGUAGGGAAUUUUUCACAAUGGACGAAAGUCUGAUGAAGCAAUACCGCGUGAGGGAAGACGGUUUUAGGACUGUAAACCUCUGUUAUAAGGGAAGAAUAUGUCGGAGAGGAAAUGCUCCGUGCAGUGACGGUACUUUAUUAGAAAGUCACGGCUAACUAUGUGCCAGCAGCCGCGGUAAUACAUAGGUGGCAAGCGUUAUCCGGAUUUAUUGGGCGUAAAGAGUGCACAGGUGGUUAUAUAAGUUUGAUGUUAAAGACCGAAGCUCAACUUCGGUUCGCAUUGAAAACUGUAUAACUAGAAUGCAGGUGGGAAUAGUGGAAUUCGAUGUGUAGCGGUGGAAUGCAUAAAUAUAUCGAGGAACACCAGUGGCGAAGGCGGCUAUUUGAACUGUAAUUGACACUUAAGCACGAAAGCGUGGGGAGCAAAUAGGAUUAGAUACCCUAGUAGUCCACGCCGUAAACGAUCUAGAUUAGAUGUCGGAAUUAUUCGGUAUCGCAGCUAACGCAUUAAAUCUAGCGCCUGGGUAGUACGCACGCAAGUGUAAAAACUCAAAGGAAUUGACGGG
rnacentral:rRNA from 1 species